ensembl:lncRNA
AUUUAAAAGCAGCAGAGAGCUUCAGAAACAUUGAAAACUAAAGGCAGUAAAAUUGCAGACAGAGAAGAAAUAUUCAGAGAAAAGUUGAGGAACAACAGCUGUCACUGGGGGCGAGGGAAACUUUCUCAUCAGGGACGUCUUAACUGGACAAUCCAGGCUUGGACCUCAGCAGAGGGUCAUUGCUAGGGGACAGAGAAAUAAGACCUCCUACAGUCAGUACUUCCCUUGAUGGCGGUGAAUGACCAGGAGUGGACAAAAUAAGGGUGCUUCCCAAAGUGUUCUGAAGAACAGCAGUCCUUUGACGUACUCUAAAAAGACCAACUUCUCAGUCAAGCUGUCUUCCAGAGUGGCUGUACUAUUUUGCAUUCCCGUCAGCGAUGAAUGAGAGCUCCUGUCGCUCUACGUCUUCAACAAUUGAUGUUGUCAGUGUUUUGGAUUUUAGACAUCCUAGUAGUAUGCAGAUUUCUCGAAAAACUAAAAAUGGAACUACCACAGAUUCCAGCUAUUCCACUACUGGGUAUUUCUCCAAAGAACAUGAAAUCAACAAUUUAAAGAGACUUAUGCACCCCUAUGUUCAUUGCAGCGUUAUUCAUAAUAGCCAAGAUGUGGAAACAACCCAAGUGCCUAUCAACUGAUGAUUGGAUAAAGAAGAUGUGGUGUGUAGAUAUAUACAAUGGAAUACUACUUAACCAUAAAAAAGACAAAAUUGUCCCAUUUGCAACAACAGGGACAGACCUUGAGGCUAUUAUGCUAAGUGAAAUAAGUUAGAGAAAGACAAACACCAUAUCAUUUCACUGGUGAAAAAACAAGUAUCUGCAGGUGAAGCAUCUUGGUCAAGUCCCCACGGGAAAGGAGAGCUAAAAUCCAGUCUGAGUUUUCCGACAGGCUGGACGUGUUGCAGCUGAAGCCCAAUAAGCUUGGAUUAUAGCUGUUAGGGUCAAGUCUAUUGUCCAUUGUCAGUCUUCCUAUUGGAAAUAUUUCGAACGUGCAGAUCUUAAUCUGGAGCACUCAUGAACCAUAUUCCUACGAGCGUUGCUUGCUCCAACACCUUCGGCAGAAUGAUUGGGCCAUGAACAGAUAAGUGGAAAUGGCUCAUCUUGCUCUUCUCCAAGAUGCUUUCUGUCUCUCUUUGUUUUCUCUGUGACUACAGCCUCUGGGUUUUAUCCUUUUCUUAUAGCAACCUGGAGGGAAUCUUGUAAGUCCAACUUGAAAUGAGUCAUUGGACAGCAGCACUGGAGGCAGUGAAACGUCCCACGUAAAGCUGAUAUCUCUUCAGUCUGCAAAGCUAAGGAAUCACCACCUGUUUACUCAUUCCGUGAUCACUAUUGUAUAAGCUACAUAAACUACGAGGAGGAGAAAUGGGGUCUGGAAGUUCUUUUACAACAUGUAUAUAACUUAGUUUAUUAUUAGCACCUGGAAGGCAUCUCAAUCAGUAUUCAUUCCUUUGAAACUUUUAAGUUGAGAAAUAUUUCUCUUUUAUGAAAGGGAACAUUUUAGGGAAGAUCAGCAGUUCUCCAGCUAGUGUGGAUAACACAGAGAUACUAAGUGGAGGAAGCUCGUGUGCAGCAAGAAGAAGAGGAUGCUUCCAGGUCCCGCCUGCCGUGAGGACGCUGCAGCAAACACAGGGGCACAGAUGUCCUUUCCAAUUAGUGUCUUCACAGUCUUUGGAUAAACACCCAGAAGUGGAAUAGCUGGAUUAUGUGGUAGUUGUAUUCUUAAUUGUUUGAGGAAUCUCCUUACUGUUUCAUCUGAAAUUUAUAGAACGUUAUAAAUCAAUGUUACCUCAAUAAAAUUAAAAAAUAAAUUUUAAAAAAA